rnacentral:lncRNA from 1 species
GUUUUGUCUCCUUGGUCUCUUCUGUUUUUGUCGUCGUGGUCUCUUCUGGUUUUGUCUCCUUUACCUCUUCGGCUUUCUUCUCCUCAAUAUCAGAUUUCUUGUCUUCUUGGGUAACUGCAGCUGGUGCUGCUACUUCAGGUGAUUUCUCGAGCUCAACCGCUAUCUCCUCUCUCUUCUCCUCAAUAUCACAUUUCUUGUCUUCUUGGGUAACUGCAGCUGGUGCUGCUGCUUCAGGUGAUUUCUCGAGCUCAACCGCUGUCUCCUCAUUCUUCUCAGUGGUCUUUGGCUUUUCUUCUGCUUCUUCUAUCUUUGCCGCAACUUCAGCUAUCUUCUCUUCUUCUGGCCUUUCCGCAACUUCAGCUAUCUUCUCUUCUUCUAG